CAUAAUGCAUUGCUACAGUACCAUCACUUUGCUUCUCUAACAUGAUCAUUCUAGUGCGUGAACUAUGAACAUAAGAACCAACAUUCCCUGGAACUACUCGAUCAAAAUUUAUAAUUCUCAUCUUGCAGACAUUCAUGCUGCCACCUACGAUUGACUUCGAUAAUUUUCUUGCACUAGCAUCAUCUUUCACAUCCUCACUAUUGGAUAAACUGGCGAGACAAGCCGUCAGAUUUUGAUGCAAAUAAAUGUUGGGUUUCCUGACAGAGUAGUCAUCA
rnacentral:misc_RNA from 1 species